rnacentral:snRNA from 1 species
UAGUGAUUUCAGCUCUUUUAGUAUUUGUCCAGAAGGUUUCCUGCUACGGUGGGGAAUCUUG